rnacentral:rRNA from 1 species
UACGGGGGGUGCGAGCGUUGUCCGGAAUCACUGGGCGUAAAGGGCGCGUAGGUGGUCUUGUAAGUUUGUGGUGAAAGCCCGGGGCUCAACCCCGGGUCUGCCGCGAAUACUGCGAGACUUGAGUACUGUAGAGGCUGGUAGAAUGCCGGGUGUAGCGGUGAAAUGCGUAGAUAUCAGGAGGAAUACCGAUGGCGAAGGCAGGUCUCUGGGCUGACACUGACGCUCAUGCACGAAAGCGUGGGGAGCAAACAGG